UAUAUUGGCAGAAUAUUGCACUAGAAUUAGAAUCUAAUUACCUCAU
rnacentral:tRNA from 1 species